ensembl:ncRNA T01C1.11 ncRNA
AUAUAACAGGAGAAGGGGAUAACUUUCUGCCAAAUUUAACAUGGGAUGAGUGGGAAAAGGGAAGAAGACAUAUACACACAAUAUAUCCCGUUGAGAUUUCAAUCUUGAAUGCUGUUGAAGAGGUUGA